UACGGAGGGGACUAGCGUUGUUCGGAAUUACUGGGCGUAAAGCGCACGUAGGCGGAUUUGUAAGUCAGGGGUGAAAUCCCGAGGCUCAACCUCGGAACUGCCUUUGAUACUGCAAAUCUCGAGUCCGGAAGAGGUGAGUGGAAUUCCUAGUGUAGAGGUGAAAUUCGUAGAUAUUGGGAAGAACACCGGUGGCGAAGGCGGCUAUCUGGCCCGUAAUUGACGCUGAGGCGCGAAAGCGUGGGGAGCAAACAGG
rnacentral:rRNA from 1 species